GAAGUGCUGGUGCUGGCCAGACUAUGGUGUUACUGGAUUUACUCUGAUGUAUCAGCUAUAACACAGUGUGACAUUUCUGUCUUGUAGCAGGAGCUGAAGUGAGGGACAGAAGGAGAGAGACCGACAGGAAAAGAGAGUGAAGAAAGCGUGAUGGGGAAAGGUUUGUCGACAUGAGAGAAAUGCCACAUCUGCUCUCCGUGAGGAGAGACAGGCCACCAGAGGAAGUCAAAGGGGAUGCAGGGAAAACAUACGUGAAUAAACAAAUUCUGAGAGGAGCGCUGCUGGUAUAGUAGCUGAAUUUCCCGAAGGCGCUGUUGAAUACAGAGAUCAUCACGCGUACAGGAAGAGAGAGAACAACUGAGACUGAGCCAUCGAGCGCCACGGUAUCGGCCUUCUGUCCUGCGGCUGAACAGCUACUUAUCAGGCAGAUUUGAAAGACGGAGCAGAGAAAGAUAAUGCAUUUACCAGAGUCUAUUACACUGUACUUCUAAAGGUUUGAACAUCCUGUGACCUCGCUGUAAAGCGAGCUUCGCUUCUGACGGCACAGAUGAGUCUGGAUCUGGAUGCCGGUUCUAUGUUUUCUGGCCUUGGAGGAGAAGAGAGGGUGGAGGCCGGGGUCAUCAUCAUCGUCUGCCCUGGGCCUUCAGAGAGACACGAUCACAGGCCUGGCAGCUCCUCUGACAGUACUGAAAAGCCUCUGAUUGAAGAUGCUCUGGAAGAGAGUGAGCCAGAAAGGGAGAGACAGACAGAGAGAGAGAAGGUGGAAUAUGGUCGGAGGGAAUGAAACAAGCAGUCAAACUGUCAAGAUUUUUUCAAUACAUGCACUCAAAGGCCUUGGAAAGCAAGCGGCCUCUGAGACUGAGGCGCCGUGGGAUGAGCUGAUUGAUGGAUGUGGGCAUGCAGGGGGAAUAUAAAUGCUGGCCUCUGAUUCCUGCCUCCCCAGGGAGACACAGGACUUUCCCUUUUAUGACCAGGAGCUUGCAGUGAUUCUUCUGCUGCCUGGAGAGACUCCUAACUGAGCCUCACAGAUUAAACUGAGGAACAGGACACUAAGCAGAUGAGAUGUUCUUGGCUAUGUGCAGGCUGAUAUAAUACCUUUUUCAUCUAACACUCACUUAAAUUUAAUUUAUAUUAAAGAUACAUAUUGAUGUCUUUAUACAUUAUUUUAUGAUUCUGAAAGAGCCCUUCUUGCUUCAAAAACCUGCAAUGACGUUAGUGUCUUACCUUUGUUCCUUUCCGUCAGUGCUGGAUUUUUUCACUUAGACUGCUGCUCUCUUGAUAAUGGCAAACUGUCUCUGUUCAGACAGUUCAGAGAGCUUCUACGGAGCUGUGGGAUUAUUGUAACUUCACAUUUUCUUGGACAAUUUAAUAAAAGACAGUUUAUAUCCACCGUCAUAUUCAUGUGAAGGGGAUUUAUUCUUGAAAUGAAAUAUUGUUGAUGUGUAUAGCAGCUUACUCAAGAGGCUGAACGAGGCUUUGAAAUAGUGGUUUCUCAAUGAAAAUAUACUGCAUAACCAUUA